CCUCUCCCGAGCCUCAUCUCCGGCUUAACAGCUCCAGCCCGGAGCAACUUGGGGAGAGAGACCCCGGGCGGGUCGGGGCUGGCUUUCCCCGGGGACGGACGGACGGACGGAUGGAUGGACGGACGGGGGGGAUGCAGCGAGGGGCCGGGCGGCGGCGCUCGGGGCCGGCGGUUUCCCGGGCGAUGGGUGGGGAGAGGAGGAGGAGGAGGAGGAGGAGGAGGGAGAAGAAGAGGAGGAGGAGGGGUCCCCGCGGCUUUAUCUCCCACCCGGCUCCGCCCGCCGCCGCCCGCCUCCCUUCGCCACACCGCUCCGCACCGCUCCGCACCGCUCCGCACCGCACGGCCGGGGGCAGCGCCCAUGGGCUGCGGGAACUCUACGGCCGGCGGCGCGGGGGGGCGAGGUGCCACAGGGACUACUAAAGAUGUGUUGGUAGGUUGGAGACCAAGCUAA
rnacentral:lncRNA from 1 species